CCUACGGGUGGCAGCAGUGGGGAAUAUUGCACAAUGGGGGGGACCCUGAUGCAGCGACGCCGCGUGAGUGAAGAAGUAUUUCUGUAUGUAAAGCUCUAUCAGCAGGGAAGAAAAUGACGGUACCUGACUAAGAAGCCCCGGCUAAAUACGUGCCAGCAGCCGCGGUAAUACGUAGGGGGCCAGCGUUAUCCGGCUUUACUGGGGGUAAAGGGAGCGUAGACGGGAGAGAAAGUCUGAAGGGAAAGCCCGCGGCCCGACUGCCGGACUGCUUUGGAAACUGCCCGGCUAGAGUGCUGGAGAGGUACGCGGAAUGCCCAGUGUAGCGGUGAAAUGCGUAGAUAUUACGAGGAACACCAGUUGCGAAGGCGGCUUACUGGACAGUAACUGACGUUGAGGCUCGAAAGCGUGGGGAGCAAACAGGAUUAGAUACCCCGGUAGUC
rnacentral:rRNA from 1 species